AGCGAACGCUGGCGGCAGGCUUAACACAUGCAAGUCGAGCGGGCACUUCGGUGUCAGCGGCAGACGGGUGAGUAACACGUGGGAACGUACCCUUUGGUCCGGAAUAACGCUGGGAAACUAGCGCUAAUACCGGAUACGCCCUUUUGGGGAAAGGCUUGCUGCCGAAGGAUCGGCCCGCGUCUGAUUAGCUAGUUGGUGGGGUAAUGGCCUACCAAGGCGACGAUCAGUAGCUGGUCUGAGAGGAUGAUCAGCCACACUGGGACUGAGACACGGCCCAGACUCCUACGGGAGGCAGCAGUGGGGAAUAUUGGACAAUGGGCGCAAGCCUGAUCCAGCCAUGCCGCGUGAGUGAUGAAGGCCUUAGGGUUGUAAAGCUCUUUUGUCCGGGACGAUAAUGACGGUACCGGAAGAAUAAGCCCCGGCUAACUUCGUG
rnacentral:rRNA from 1 species